rnacentral:ncRNA from 2 species
UAUGCUCCCCGGAGGGCCGGUCCCGGUCCGCCAUCACACAAGACGGCACAAGGGUAGGAAGCCGGUGGAAAUCCGGCGCGGUCCCGCCACUGUGAGCGCGGCAGCCGGUGACGCGGCGGCAGCGCGAGCCAGGAACUCCCGCCGUCUUCAACCCGCCCGG